UUAACACUCUUUAAACAAAAUGAUACUUUAAUUUAUAGUAGAAGGAGCGGAAAAGUUUGAAUUCGAAACACAAUGCAACAAACGAAAGACCCUAACCACCAUAAUAAUUAACCGCUUGCUAACAUCCUUUAACUGCUUCCACCAUUGAGCAAGUGCAGAAAAAGUAUUAAAAGUUCUUAUUUCAGAAGCCAACCUUUUUCUAAGAAACGAAAGAGCAAUCAAUCUUUCUGUAUUAUAAUAAAAUUGCAGGUGGAGCAAGUAAAGUGAACGAGCGAGGACUUUAGUUUAUUUAAGUCGCUGCUUUUUUGACAUUACAAGAUAGAUAUGGCAUAACCUUGACAACCAGUGGCGUGUAUAGUUCAUCAGCAUGCUCCCUCUCACGUGACCCCCAUGUCCACGGUCAGAUUCCUGACACGUGGGGAGCUUACAGGCCGCCUCCUGAGCUCAACCGAGUGAUCUGGUUGGACAUGAUUGUUCAUCAUCAUCUCUUUCUGUCUCAGUCUUUUAAGCUUUAGUUCCGGGCUUCACAGAAUCUUUCAGGUAAUCUGUUGCUUAGUUUGGAAAAAUCAAGGGCACACCCCAGACCAAUAGCCCAAGAGAGACUCUUUAGCUUCAAAUCAAAUGGGAUACAUAAUUGUCGUAUCAGCGCCGGUUAUACUGUUCAUAUUGAUUGUAGCCCUUGCAUUUUACCUCCUUGGUAGGGCGACGGGCGAAGGCAAUCAUCUACUGCUCCACAGUAUUUUGGGCCUCGGGUGCCUCCACCCCAAGAGAAGUCCGCCGUGGUCCAGACGUAUUAUACUCGGCUCAGUUCUUUUUUCACAAUUUAACAUGUAUUUUAACGAGUAUACAUUUGUGUAUAAGUCAACCCAUGAAUAUAAGGAGGAACGAGAUCCAUUUUGAGAGUGCUAAGUUAUGCAUGACUCAUGUCAAGGUUAGGAUUCGUACAUGUUCUAAAGAAUCUACCUCUUACGUCAAGUGCUCCUAUUUUUGAGACUUUAGGUCUUUUUCCUUUGUUGUCUACUGACCACGUUUCAUCCCUAUUGUAUGGAAACCUCCUAUGCUGGGGUGGACCAAGGUAAAUACUAAUGGGUCAUUCAAGUCUA